GUCAGUCGUAUUCCAGCAGAAUAUAUGUCCGAACCUCCCGAACUCAUGUACAUUAAAUUGUUUUACAUUGUUUAAAAUAAAAUAAAAAUAAUUGGUUAUUUCGCCAAGCGUACUUUAUUUAAUUUGUCGUGUAGACUUACACAUGUGUGCGGUGCGCACUUUGCACACCCGAUAUUCACGGCACUGAUUAUUUUACAGUAUUUACAUUGGUCACGAGUAAUCGAAAUAAUUGUAACUUAAUUUCGUUGUAAUCACAAUUUUCUAGUCGCAGCCAUAUCGAGCAUAUCAUAUUCUUCCGGCAUUCUUUAGUUUUUAAACUACAGUUCUCGGUUGAAGACGUCCUGACAUUGUCGUAUUUACCGAUUUUCACUCGAUUGAUUUUGAUGAUCACAUAAUGAAACUUGUAUUAUUCCUGAACCAUGUGAUAGAGACAUAAUAUACAAAGUGCAGUAUAAAACUCGUUGAGUCGUUGGUCCAUCUAUCCACCAAUAGAAUUAAAUGAGGAAAUGUCAAAGGGUCGCUAUGGUGUGAUAUGGAAAGCUCCUCAGAAGAAUGAUACAGUAGCUAUUAAAACAUUCCCUCCACAGGAUGAAAACGCAUAGUUGAUAAAACAAGAGAUUUAUCAAUUACCACGACACAUGCAACAUGACAAUAAUAUACUAUCCUUCAUUGGGGCUGAAGAACAUGUUAGUGUUAUUGAAGCAGCUAAAAAUGAAUAUUGGUUAAUCAAUGAUUACCAUGAUUGUGGAUCAUUAUGUGAUUACUUAAAAUCUAAUACAUUAAAUUGGAAUCAACUUUGUCAUAUUAUACCCAUUCCAUGGCAAGGUAAAUUAUUGUACCCAGUACCAGAUCUACAAAUUAUGUAACCCGAGACAAAACAUAGGUACCUACUAUGCUAUAUUCUAUAUGAGUUAAAAUUUAAAAUUUUCGCCCCUCUAUUAUUAGCGGCCGGGGCAUGGGCCCCGGAUUGCCCCCCCUCCUAGAUCCGGUACUGAUUGUACCUACUGCUUGUAUAACAUAUUCAGGUUUUUAAUCACUAUUUUGUUUCAGAGGUUUGAUGCAUUUACACGAAGAAAUUCUAUCAGAACGUUAGAUCAAUAUAAGCCAAUCAUUGUUCACAGGGAUUUUAAAAGCAAAAAUGUUCUACUAAAAUAUGAUUUUACUGCAUGUAUUUCUGAUUUUAGUCUCACUGUAGUUUUGCGACAUGGCAAGUUAUGUGGUGAUGUACAUACACGGGUAAAUACCCAUAUAAAUUAUGCAAAAAUAUAAAUUACACAAAAGUAAACGUUGUCUGUGUAUACCAUCCAUCAUUUAAAGACAUGGUAUAAUGUGUAGUGCAUAAAAGAUUAAGACCAGCAUUUAAAGCUUUUAAAAAUAACUGGCAAUUAUAUUUUCAGUUAUAUUUAAAAGAUGGUAUUAAUCUUUUAUGCACUACACAUUAUACCAGGUCUUCAAAUGACGGAUGGUGUACACAGACUACGUUUACUUUUGUGUAAUUUAUAUUUUUGCGUAAUUUAUAUGGGUAUUUACCCCUGUAUGUACAUCACCACAUAACUUGCCAUGUCGCAAACCACAGCGAGACCAAAAUCCGAAAUACAUGCAGUCAAAUCAUGUUUCAAUAGAAUAUUUUUGCUUUUAAAGUCUCUGUGAACAAUGAUUGGCUUAUAUUGAUCAAACGUUCUGAUAGAAUUUCUUCAUGUAAAUGCUUUAACCCUCUGAAACAAAAUAGUGAUUAAAAACCUGAAUAUGUUAUACAAACAGUAGGUACAAUUUUUUUUGUGGGGGGGGGGGGGUCAAGU